rnacentral:rRNA from 1 species
GAUCAUGGCUCAGGAUGAACGCUAGCGGCAGGCUUAACACAUGCAAGUCGAGGGCAUCGGGAGUAGCAAUACUUGCCGGCGACCGGCGCAAGGGUGCGUAACGCGUGAGCAACAUGCCCGUAUCAGGGGGAUAAUCCAUGGAAACGUGGUCUAAUACCCCAUAGUAAUUAUGUAAGGCAUCUUAUAUAAUUUAAAGCUUUGGUGGAUACGGAUUGGCUCGCGUGACAUUAGCUGGAUGGUAAGGUAACGGCUUACCAUGGCUACGAUGUCUAGGGGUUCUGAGAGGAAGGUCCCCCACACUGGAACUGAGACACGGUCCAGACUCCUACGGGAGGCAGCAGUGAGGAAUAUUGGACAAUGGAUGGAAAUCUGAUCCAGCCAUGCCGCGUGCAGGAAGACGGCCCUAUGGGUUGUAAACUGCUUUUGUAUGGGAGCAAUAAGGGCUACGUGUAGUCCGAUGAGAGUACCAUACGAAUAAGCACCGGCUAACUCCGUGCCAGCCGCCGC